rnacentral:rRNA from 1 species
CCUACGGGUGGCAGCAGUGGGGAAUAUUGGGCAAUGUGCGCAAGCCUGACCCAGCAACGCCGCGUGAAGGACGAAGGCUUUCGGGUUGUAAACUUCUUUUCGCAGGGACGAAGACAGUGCCGGUACCUGAGGAAUAAGCCACGGCUAACUACGUGCCAGCAGCCGCGGUAAUACGUAGGUGGCACGCGUUAUCCGGAUUUGUUGGGUGUAAAGGGCGUGUAGGCCGGAGCGCAAGUCAGAUGUGAAAACUCAGGGCUCAAACCCGAGCCUGGCUUUGACACUGGCGUUCGUGAGUGCUGGAGAGGCAAUCGGAAGGCGGGGGGUAGCGGUGAAAUGCGUAGAUAUACGGAGGAACACCAGUGGCGAAGGCGGAUUGCUGGACAGUAACUGACGCUGAGGCGCGAAAGCGUGGGGAGCAAACAGGAUUAGAUACCCGUGUAGUC